rnacentral:rRNA from 1 species
AGAGUUUGAUCCUGGCUCAGAUUGAACGCUGGCGGCAGGCCUAACACAUGCAAGUCGAGCGGAUGAAGAGAGCUUGCUCUCUGAUUCAGCGGCGGACGGGUGAGUAAUGCCUAGGAAUCUGCCUGGUAGUGGGGGACAACGUCUCGAAAGGGACGCUAAUACCGCAUACGUCCUACGGGAGAAAGCAGGGGACCUUCGGGCCUUGCGCUAUCAGAUGAGCCUAGGUCGGAUUAGCUAGUUGGUGAGGUAAUGGCUCACCAAGGCGACGAUCCGUAACUGGUCUGAGAGGAUGAUCAGUCACACUGGAACUGAGACACGGUCCAGACUCCUACGGGAGGCAGCAGUGGGGAAUAUUGGACAAUGGGCGAAAGCCUGAUCCAGCCAUGCCGCGUGCAGGAAGAAGGCCUUCGGGUUGUAAACUGCUUUUGUCAGGGAAGAAAUCUUCUGGGCUAAUACCCCGGGAGGAUGACGGUACCUGAAGAAUAAGCACCGGCUAACUACGUGCCAGCAGCCGCGGUAAUACGUAGGGUGCGAGCGUUAAUCGGAAUUACUGGGCGUAAAGCGUGCGCAGGCGGUUAUGUAAGACAGAUGUGAAAUCCCCGGGCUCAACCUGGGAACUGCAUUUGUGACUGCAUGACUGGAGUGCGGCAGAGGGGGAUGGAAUUCCGCGUGUAGCAGUGAAAUGCGUAGAUAUGCGGAGGAACACCGAUGGCGAAGGCAAUCCCCUGGGCCUGCACUGACGCUCAUGCACGAAAGCGUGGGGAGCAAACAGGAUUAGAUACCCUGGUAGUCC